rnacentral:lncRNA from 10 species
CAAUACUCCAGUCCCACUCGCUCCCUCUCCCGCCACUGCUAGGCUGGGUCACAGCCCAGGGGGGUGAGAAUGCGGUUCUGUGAGUGUGCCAGGGACUCAACUAUUGUCUCAGGGCUCCAAAUCCCGUCCGCGCUCUGCCCUCUGAGGGUGGGGUUGAACUGUGAGCCACAUCCUUGCUGUGCCUCCAGCUUCCUGUCAGGCUGUGCCAGUGGAAGGUGCUAGAAGGAACUGGGGCUGGAAUCCUAAAACGAGAGUGCCACCUGCUGACCAUCGUCAGACUCCGAUCCGAGCGUCGCGGGUAUUUCAAGGCAGGUGCCCUGAGUGGCACAAUGGGGGCCAAAGCAUUCUAUGUGAACACCGCACAAAGGAUUCUAGGCGUGACUGCCGUGGCCAUGUAGUUUCCACAGGGUGUUUGGCGCUGCCCAGAGUAUGUGGACUUGUUACCUGUCCAGCACCAGGCACUCCUCUGUAAAAGUGCCUCUGUGAGGCCGGGCCCGGUGGCUCACGCCUGUAAUCCCAGCACUUUGGGAGGCCCAGGCGGGCGGAUCACCUGAGAUCAGGAGUGGGAGACCAGCCUGGCCAACAUGGUGAAACACUGACUCUACUAAAAAUACAAAAAUUAGCCGGCAUCGUGGGGUGCGCCUGUAAUCCCAGCUACCCAGGAGGCUGAGGCAGGAG